rnacentral:rRNA from 1 species
AUGGCUUUUGAUACGAACAAUCUCGUGCUGCACAUCAGGAGACUAGUGCGUUCCUCUAUCAGACUUGGGUAUCAUUCUGCUUGCGGCCAUCCUGAAGUGCUCGGCGCCGGCAUAGCGUUGUUGUUUCUUCAUGCCCUGUGUCCUUCUCUGUUCGCCUUUGUGCUGUCUUCCUCUCCGGUCAUCGUCUUAACCGCGAUUCUUCUCGGAGCACUUUUGAGUUAUGGUGAAGCUGCUGUGCCCUUGGAUGGAGAGGAGACACUGGAGGAGCAUGAACCUUUGUCCCUUAAAUCCAACAUUCAUUUUAGUGACUGUUCAGACAAAGAGGUUGAGAAUAUUGCUGUCGAGGUUCAGUUGGAGAAGAGAACUGAGACUGACAGCUGUGAAGUAGUACAUGUCAGGGAGAGAGCUUCCGACGAUUGUAUGCACGACGCUCUGUGCGAAGACAAAAAUGUCACAUACAUUGCCUCUGAUGCUGCUGUUCUUAGCGAAGCAUAUGCUGAGGAGGAGGCAACUCCCUAUGAUAGUUUGCAUGAUACUCACUGUGAAGAGAAAAGGGUCACAUUUGUGGCAGAUGAUACUGUUCCAAGUGCAGAGCCUUGUAACCAUCCUGAGAUCAAUGCCACCUUGGAAUGCGAAGAGCGUGCCAAGGAAACCAGCGAGAAGGCCGAGCUGCAAGAGCCUGAAAGCACCUGUACUGGAAGCUGUAACAAUGGUGUACACUAUCAGUAUCAGUUUGGUGAAUUCAUGAGAUCAUGUUGGCAACCUGUUAUGAGGCAGGAUCUUCCUUACUGUGACUCUGAAUCUGAUCUUACUGAUGAGAGCUCUUCUCCUGACGCGUCAAUGACCGACAUUAUCCCAAUGCUUGAGGACCUGCACCCACUGAUAAAUUCAGGGACUGGUCAGCUUUCCUUGGCCUCCAGAGAGAACUUGAAUUCCUCAUCAGAUGAAAAUGAAUUUGACCUUGAGGAGGAGGAGCAGGACGACAGCGUUAGCUCAGAUGAUGAUGAAGGAGCGGAACGGCAGCAAGAUAACGAAGUUAAUUGGAAGGAUGUUGUUCAGCUAAAUUGUUUGGAUAUGGAGCAAAAUGAUAAAUUGGGGAAUCUGGUGGAGCUUCAAAGAGCAAAGAACAUGCUCAAGUUUGAGCUUGACAUGAGAUCAAUUGACCUGCAAGCUGCUGAUGCAACUCGGAAGCUGAAGGAUGCAUCAAGAUUCCGUGUUCAGGUCCCUUCCAUUUGCACACCAAGGCAUAACCCAUUCAAUCCUUCAAGAGAUUCAGAGGAAUCGAUAGAGUUACCGCAGAUUCCUGGCUCAGCACCAUCAGUUCUCCUUCGACGGCGAAACCUAUUUGACCUUCCAUUCGACCGAGCCGUGCACCAGCGCAGUCGAUUUCAGGAAAGUUGGACUCCUCGCUCGCGCUUUCGAUCAGCACAAGCACAAAACAUGAAGCACAGGAACUCCCGUGGACAAAAUCACUCUACUUGCAAUGGUGAAAUGGGCGAUAAUCACUCGGACGACGAUGCUGAGCAGGAAGGGAGCAAUGUCAACUUAUUUGGUUCGCUGGAAGCACAUUUAGGUGAAGAGAUGAAAAUACUAAGCGCCGCAAUUUCAGACGUGGGCGUGCUGGGAGAUGUAAAUCAUGAAACAGACGAAGGAAACGGAGAUGCUAAUGUCAGAGAUGAUGCAGCCUCAUUACCCGGAGCACAUGAUUCUGAACCGCACAGUGUGGAAGCAGACUCCAUGAGUGAAAUGAACUCACUGUUCAGGUGCCGUAUGGAGGAGGUGCUGGUGCAGUCCGUUUCAGAGGGCAGUGUCUGUCAGCCCUUGGGAGUCAAGCCUGAAGCUAUACCGAGUGCCCCCUCAUCUUCGGACUCGUGGAUGCAUGCCAGCAAAGCGAGUUCGAUCGAGGAAUUGAAGUUUCAGCUCCUGACAGCCGAUGAAGAAGCACUGACGACCUGUGCUGCCUCUGGGCUCAAUGGCCACAGUGAGUCGAUUCGAGACCAAUCGAGCGAAGCAUUAUGUGUGGUAUACAAGCAGAGUUCAGAGCUGUCAACCGCAGGAGAGCAGCAGACUGCAGGUAUGUCUGAACCAAAUGAGACAUUGACUACUUAUUGUGACGAGCUUCCUGUCGUAGAAGUAGCCAAUGUCUCGGUCGAGGAGAUGAACUCGCUGUUCGAGCAACUCGAAGAAGAGACGCAGCCGAGCAAUGGUCGUAGCAAAAUGGACAUUCCUCAAGAUGGAUUGUGUCAAGUGGAGGUGGAUCUAGUGGAGCUUUCUCUAGAUCGCGGGUUGUCGGCGCCAUAA